UCCCAUUGCUCUGACCUUUUUAACCUGUGUCUCCUCUCUGGGGAGGUUCCCAUUGCUCUGACCUUUUUAACCUGUGUCUCCUCUCUGGGGAGGUUCCCAUUGCUCUGACCUUUUUAACCUGUCUCUCCUCUCUGGGGAGGUUCCCAUAGCAUGGAAGGCAGCCAUGGUGCAUCCUUUAUUUAAAAGGGAGAUCAAGCUGAUCCUAACUGUUAUAGGCCAAUAUUUUUUUCUAUUUUGCCCUGUUUAUCAAAAGUGUUGAAAACUUGUCAAUAAUCAACUGACUGGCUUUCUUGAUGUCUAUAGUAUUCUCUCGGGAAUGCAAUCUGGUAUCCGCUCAGGUUAUGGAUGUGUCACUGCAACCUUAAAUUAAAUUAUGUCACCACUGCACUUGAUUCUAAGAAAUGUUGUGCUGCUAUUUUUAUUGACUUGGCCAAAGCUUUUGAUACGGUAGACCAUUCCAUUCUUGUGGGCCGGCUAAGGAGUAUUGGUGUCUCUGAGGGGUCUUUGGCCUGGUUUGCUAACUACCUCUCUCAAAGACUGCAGUGUAUGAAAUCAGAACAUCUGCUGUCUCAGCCACUGCCUGUCACCAAGGGAGUACCUCAAGGCUUGAUCCAAACAAACCCUGAUUCAGGUGACCAUCCUACCCAUGCUAGAUUACAGAGACAUCAUUUAUAGAUCGGCAGGUAAGGGUGCUCUCGAGCGGCUAGACGUUCUUUACCAUUCGGCCAUCAGAUUUGCCACCAAUGCUCCUUAUAGGACACAUCACUGCACUCUAUACUCCUCUGUAAACUGGUCAUUCUGUAUACCCGUCGCAAGACCCACUGGUUGAUGCUUAUUUAUAAAACCCUCUUAGGCCUCACUCCACCCUCACUCCACCCUAUCUAUGAUACCUAUUGCAGCCCUCAUCCAACACAUACAACACCCGUUCUGCCAGUUACAUUCUGGUCAAGGUCCCCAAAUCACACACAUCCCUGGGUCACUUCUCUUUUCAACUCGCUGCAGCUAGCGACUGGAACGAGCUGCAAAAAACACUCAAACUGGAUCGUUUUAUCUCCAUCUCUUCAUUCAAAGACUCAAUCAUGGACACUUACUGACAGCUGUGGCUGCUUCGCGUGAUGUGGACAUCGACAUCAAACUGAGGUCCUGCCAAGAAUCAUGCAACAGGACCUUUGCUUUCCUUAUCGACCACGACAGUUACCGGUCACAACAGGACCUGAUGACCAAAUUCAAUAACAAUACCAAGCAUCAGAAGAAGAACUCCCCUGUUAAAGACAUCCUGAAGAUCAAACUACAACCAGUGAAUGUCGAUCCUCCACCGUUGUUCAGCUACAAAACCAUCCCCAUCAUCCACAAGGAACUCCUGACUCAGUUUGAGGACCUAGAACAGAACGAGGUGGUUCUAGAAGACGUUCUAGAAUAAAUGGAAUGUCUGGGUUCCGUAGGGGUGACAGCCUUUCAAGAAUGUUAAUAAACCAAGAGAGAACUCUCUUGCUGGAUAACCAAAAUAUUAUUUUGAAUAGUAUAUUGUGUCAUAUUGUACCCUUAUCACUUAUAUUAAAGGAAUAUUGCAUAUUGUUUAACUACAAUUACCUGUAUAUGUAUGAUAUAAACUUAGC
ensembl:lncRNA